UACGUAGGGGGCAAGCGUUGUCCGGAUUCAUUGGGCGUAAAGAGCGUGUAGGCGGCCAGGUAGGUCGGUUGUGAAAACUGGAGGCUCAACCUUCAGAGGUCGACCGAAACCAUCUGGCUAGAGUCCGGAAGAGGAGAGUGGAAUUCCCGGUGUAGCGGUGAAAUGCGCAGAUAUCGGGAAGAACACCUAUGGCGAAGGCAGCUCUCUGGGACGGUACUGACGCUGAGACGCGAAAGCGUGGGGAGCGAACAGG
rnacentral:rRNA from 1 species